rnacentral:rRNA from 1 species
AGGACGAACGCUGGCGGCGUGCUUAACACAUGCAAGUCAAGGGGGCCGCAAGGCAACCGGCGAACGGGUGCGUAACACGUGAGCAACCUGCCUUAGUGUGGGGGAUAGCCGGCCCAACGGCCGGGUAAUACCGCAUACGCUCACUGGGUGGCAUCACCUGGUGAAGAAACUUUCGAGGCACUAAGAGGGGCUCGCGGCCUAUCAGCUUGUUGGUGGGGUAAUGGCCUACCAAGGCGACGACGGGUAGCUGGU